GAAGUUAUGUACUUUUCGGGGACUGAGUGGGCCCGUGCCACGGCUGCUCCCAUUAUGUGGCUCAUGAAAGGGUUUCACCUUCUGUACUGGAAGGGAGUUGGUCUGUCUACAACAAAGGCGUUCGCCUCUGUGGCUUUCUGAAAAAAGAAUGUGUGUGCUUGUCAAAACAGAACUUUCCUGCGUACUUGGAAGAGUAGGCCUGACUGCCUGCCAGAAAGGAGCAAGACUCAGUCUGGUUAAAAAGGGAGAAAAAUUCCACUGAGCAGGCCUGUUAGCCACUGCCCAGGACAGCCUUCCUCUCUCACAAAGACAUUUGUUCACUGUGCAUGGCUGCCUUCCCUCGCAACUUCCUGCCAGGGCGGUUCGAUGCAGCAUGGAAGGUGGAGAGCUGGCGAAGUCACGGGGAAAAACUGAAAUUGAUCAUUAAGAAUCCUGCAGACCAAGAUCAGCUCUAAAUAAGAUUACUUCUUCCUGGUCCCAGGGGGACAACUGUCCUACCCGGACAACAAGUUUUCCAGGAGCACAUUGAAAACCCACAUUUACAUUUAAAUGAAAGUCCUACUUCAACCAGACAGAGGUAUGCCUCGAAAUAAAUCCAUAUAUUUCAGGUAAGGGAGUUAUCUUCAUUCUCGUAAUGUAACCUGUCUGGACUCCAUUGGAAAUUAUUACAAACCCGCCGUUCCCAGUGCCUUCAGGAACAGAGUGCCGAUGUGGUCUGUCGGCUAGGAAUCCAGGUUGCAAACCUUUGCUGAGGGCUGGCUUCCACUCUUUCUUUGGCUGUGCUGUCUCUAAAAUAACCGAUAGCAGUUUAAAGCUGAGCAAUAAGUCUUGCUGCUAUAAUUGGACAUGGAGCAGAAAAAGACCUCGAGCUGUAAUGGGAGGUAUGUUUGCUAAAGGUGAUCCAUCUUUCCCUCCUUCAGGAAUCUGCUCCUGCUGGCCAUUUCCAAAUCUAAGAAGGAUCAUCUUGACCUCUUAAUGAUCCUGGCAAUGAGAGGAAUAAAUAAGAGUACCCAUGCUGAUGUUGGGUUCCUCUGGAAGCAGAUUUGGAAACAAGGAUUUUAAUACAAAUAGUUUAUGUAGGAGGUUAUCCCAGGAAGCACAGUUUGGGGUGAUCAGAUGAGGGGGAAGGGAAGCAAGCCAAUGUGGGAAGCAUUGAUUACAGCUAUAACCAACUGUGGCUCUAUCCACUAGGGUCCCCCGGAGAUAGUGUAGACCAUGUUUUGGUGUUGUUGAGAUGGGGCAUUUAUUUUUCAACUACCAAUUUGUUAAUUUUUGUUCCUGGGGACAUUAACUACCUAUACCACCUAUGAACACAUCAAACACAAUCCUGUGGUGAGAGGCAGCCCUCAGAGUAAUUGCAUGGAUUAUCAACAAGGAUGGGAAUGGUAACAUCAAGGGGCUACACAUGGGGAACCAAUGGCUCUGCUACACCCCUCUUCUUAAUAGAUAGGGAUUUCAUCCAUUUUCAUAAGCAAGCAGGAGGUUUGUUAUUCUAUCACCUGGACCAUUUCAAAAACCAUCUCCCCUCAUGAUGCAUGGUGAGAACCAUAUCAUGGUUCUUUACCCUAGAAUAUGGAAGUCAACCUGGACUCUGAGAAGUUAUAAUGGGUACCACAGAUUUGCUGCAUUGGCCUCCUCAGUUUUAUUUUUGCCAUCCUACAUGAUUGUGAUGGAGGGGUCUAAGGAUCACAAAAACCUGCCUGUCUUCCAGCUGCAGAGGAGGACGCAUGCCCAGGGCCAGGCUAAUCAUAGUCCUCUUAUGGCUAUUAAAUGUUCAAAGGGCUCGCCUGGGCCUCAAGCAGUGUCAAUUGGAAUCCUUUAGCAAGAUUUCAUAUAUGGAUGCUGGGGGAGUGAGCUUCUCAAGGGCCGUGUAAGCUUGGAAGUGCCAAGGACCAACUUGCCGUCCACAGAAAGAGAAUAUCUGGAAAAUGAAGCCAUACUGGGGAAAGUGAGACCAAGGAACUGAUAGACAGAGACUGAGUUAUGAUGAAAAUGUGAGCACCUGGAUCCAGCUUUGCCUGAAGUCAGUCCACUCCUAACUUUCAAAGCUCACAAGUCAACAAAUGCCACUAGCUAUUAAGGUUAAUUUUAAGCUGGGCUCCUGUCACUCAAUUGAAAGAAUCCUUUCCAAACAAUGUGCCCCCUGAAUAUCAUACUCUUUGUUGUUUUGAGAGCAGACUCUUCAUCCAUUAGACUA